AUAAUGUUUUAGAAAAGAACUAAGGUUGCAAAAUGCAGAAGGACAAGGGACAAGGGGAUUGCAAAUACAUGCAACAGAAUGAUUAUAAUGAUAGCUCAUAGAAACCAAAGCAGGUAAUGAGAAGAAUGAAGACAUAAUGGAAAUGACAAUCAGCAGCAAGUCAAAGGAUUGAAGGAAGUUCAGACACAGUCAAGUUAACCUGGUCCUCUCCUCUGCAGAAAAGGUGGGUCCCCGACAAAACCCCACCCUCAAGUCUGAAACCAUGACCCAAAGUGAGAACUUACACCUCUGCUUUACUGUUCUACUGUUGCCUUUUUCCUAAACCAUCCAUGACCCCUCCUCCCAUCCUGUGCCUGUAAAAACUGGCAGAGAGGAAGGUAGCUGGACAUUGAAGCCUACGGUUGGAUGUCAGAGAGAAGCGGCUUGACUCUAGAAAGACAGCUUGGUGGCAUAACUUCGGAGAAGAAUCUGGUCAGAGAUGGUCGGAAUUCAGGGGAAGAUGAUCAUCCUGCCCCAUCCCCUUUUCAGCUCCCCUUCCCAUUGAAAGCCACUUUUAUCAGCCAUAAAAUCACCUGAAUUUACCAUCCUUCAAUUCAUGCAACCUAAUUUCUCUUGGACUCCGGACAAGAGCUCGGGAGACCCAAGUAUGGAUACAAAAGGCAGAGGGCCCAUUGAGCUGUUAACAUUUAAGCAGUCCACGGAUGGCAGAGCAAAAAAAGCACUGUAACACUCCCUCUGGGGCUUCCGGGGUUGCAGGCACCUCCCCCAGAUGCUACCGCGGGGCCUGCACGGAGUUUGCUCCUGCCGCCGCCCAAAAAUGCUUGCCCUGACUCCUGCAAUGGCUCACCUGUGCAGCAGGUCCCAGUGAGUGGAGUUCGGCCCUGCUGGCGUUGAAACAGCUGGCUGCUUCCAGCGUUCAUGCACUCCAGUUUCACGAGGAGUUGAAAACUGCAGUCUAGCCUGCUCCAGCCCCCACCUUUACUGCUACACAA
rnacentral:lncRNA from 1 species